AGCGGCGUACGGGUGAGUAACACGUGGAUCAUCUGCCCUUUUGUGGGGAAUAACUCUGGGAAACCGGAGCUAAUACCGCAUAAGCCCGAGAGGGGAAAGCAGCAAUGCGCAGAAGGAGGAGUCCGCGGCCGAUUAGCUCGUUGGCGGGGUAAUGGCCCACCAAGGCAACGAUCGGUAGCCGGCCUGAGAGGGCACACGGCCACACUGGCACUGAGACACGGGCCAGACUCCUACGGGAGGCAGCAGUGGGGAAUCUUGCGCAAUGGGGGAAACCCUGAUGCAGCGACGCCGCGUGAGUGAUGAAGCCCUUCGGGGUGUAAAGCUCUUUCGACGGGAACGAUAAUGACGGUACCCGGAGAAGAAGCUGCGGCUAACUACGUGCCAGCAGCCGCGGUAAUACGUAGGCAGCAAGCGUUGUUCGGAAUUAUUGGGCGUAAAGAGUAUGUAGGCGGUUGGCUAAGUUUGGUGUGAAAUCUCCUGGCUUAACUGGGAGGGUGCGCUAAAUACUGGCCGGCUUGAGUGUGGGAGAGGAGAGUGGAAUGCCUGGUGUAGCGGUGAAAUGCGUAGAUAUCAGGCGGAACGCCGGUGAUGUAGAUGGCUCUCUGGACCACAACUGACGCUGAGAUACGAAAGCGUGGGUAGCAAACAGGAUUAGAUACCCUGGUAGUCCACGCCCUAAACGAUGCGGACUUGGUGUAGGC
rnacentral:rRNA from 1 species